rnacentral:tRNA from 1 species
GGAGGGAUGGGUGAGCGGCCGAAACCGCCGGUCUUGAAAACCGGUAAGCCGAAAGGCUUCGGGGGUUCGAAUCCCCCUCCCUCCGCCA